UACGGAGGGGGCUAGCGUUGUUCGGAAUUACUGGGCGUAAAGCGCACGUAGGCGGCUUUGUAAGUUAGAGGUGAAAGCCCGGGGCUCAACCCCGGAAUAGCCUUUAAGACUGCAUCGCUUGAACACGGGAGAGGUGAGUGGAAUUCCGAGUGUAGAGGUGAAAUUCGUAGAUAUUCGGAAGAACACCAGUGGCGAGGGCGGCUCACUGGACCGUUGUUGACGCUGAGGUGCGAAAGCGUGGGGAGCAAACAGG
rnacentral:rRNA from 1 species